UGACACCCUCUUCUGGCAUUGUUGGGCACCAGGCAUGCACAUGGAACACAAAUGCACAUUUAGGUAAACACUCAUAUACAUAAAAAGAAGUUAAUUUAUUUAAGAUUAAUUAAUUUAGUAUGAGAGGUGUAUGUGUGGGUGGGGGAGGGUACACUGUAUCCCUCAGUCAAUUCUCCAAGUAUCUUGUACCCACUUCCCAUUUAACUCUUCCUAUGAUUCCAAGAUGUUCUUCUUAUGUCUUCUUUAUUCACUGAGUAGGAAAUGGAAGAUCAAUCGAGGCAAUUCAACAGUUAAGGACUCAAGACUAUACGUGAGAAACCUAGAUUCGUGGCCAGGAAAAUCAGGAGCUACUGGACAAAAGGAGCAGGUGACAGAGCAAAGAGAAAGCAAGGAAAUGGGGCAGAAAGAAGGCCCAGGACAGAGGCUACACAGGACAGGAGGUAUGAUCAGGUGCUGGGUUAUCAAAUAUGGGACUUUUAUUGAUAUGUUUUUAUCUGUUUUUGAUAA
rnacentral:lncRNA from 1 species